AUGCAUUAUCCUCUUAACACGAAGAGAGUCGCGUGCUUAAAUCGAUCAUUCAAAAAUGUCCCGUGUCAAAGACUUUUUGAAACAGCAUCGCUUUUACUUAAUAGCUGUUCCAUGUUUGACCGGGCAAUUUUGGUUAUGGCUUAAAAUACAACAAGAUGAACGUCUCGUACCCAGACACGAAGGGUCGUUGACCAAAGGCAGGGACAGUUAAGAAAGAGAGAAAUAUUUUGCUUACUGCUCUCUAUCAGUUUGCAAAAAGCAGAGUAGGAUUGGAAUUACCGAUAUUAACCCAACGUAUUCCUGAUGUUGUCCGUGAACCGGAGUAGAUUGAUUCAGUUGACUGCAAUGUCUUCAGAGAAGCUCAGAGAAGAGUUUCACCAUUGAGGCUUCAUGCUACUAUGACAACCUUUCAUCGGAUACUUCCUUAUUCUAUAGAGAAAACUGUUGACUAAAACGAGAAAAUUCAGGAAGCCGCAUCAUCUGAGGCUGUGUACUGAACUCUAUCAAUUGUAUAUAGAUUUAUGUGGCUAAUAAACUAGUUUACAACUCAAGUCUACUUUAUAUAAUUAUUGUCAAUUUAUGUGUAAUGAAUUUGAAUUGAAAUUUGUUUAACUUUAGACUUAUUACAUGACUUAAUCUGAGUUUUUCCAAUUUUUCUCCAUUUUUCCCGAUUUAUUUUCGAUUUUUUAAUGACUUAUUCAAUUACCCCAUCUUACCCGCCGAAGAAGUGACAGGCAGCGCCGAGUAGCGUAACACCGGCCCGCGGCACUUGCCUGAACUAAAAUUCCAAGUUUCUUGCCCCUUGACUCACCGAGACCCGCCUUACAGCGGAGGAGUCGCGUGUGAUGCGGGUGCAUCUAUCAUCAGGCGCUUUGGUCGCGGACCCGCGUGUAAUGCGGGAGUGCAUAUCGCUAGGCGCAUUGAGGGGCUGGGGAAGAUGCGGCGAUUGAAUAAUUAAUGCACUCGAAAUAUCUAUGAAUUGAUUAAAGAAUCGGAUUGCAUCAUAGAUAUAUUGAACAAUAUAUAUUGAAUAAUAUAUAGUGUUCAAUAUAUCUAUGAUUGGAUCUAGAAAUAAACUCGAGUUCGUGUCACUCUACCUGCAUAUCAUUGCAGGGAAUGAAGGUCUAUUAAUUAAUUGAAAAUCGAGUAAGAAAUAGAUAUUAACAUGAUGAUGACAAAGCAGUGAUUGUUUAUAGGAAGCGAGGGUCUAAUUACAAAGUUUAACAACGAUUUCAUUUCGAAUAUCUUCGUGUCCAAUGAUGGAGACGACAAGAAGUGGACCCGUAGGCCCUUACUUUCAAUUGAAACGUCUGGAAUUAUACAAGCAUAGAUAUAUUGAACAAUAUAUUGUUCAAUAUAUCUAUGAUACAAGUAACCAUUCCAAUUCCGUUAGUAUUAAUCCACCUGUUGCAAUCUCUGAUACUUCUAUCCUUUGUAGUGAGCAGGUUGAAGUUCUCCUCCAAAAUGCCUCGGCUUGAUAUAGGCAAGUUUUUUAUUCCAAAU